UUUUAGAGUUUGAUCCUGGCUCAGAACGAACGCUGGCGGCGUGCCUAACACAUGCAAGUCGCACGAGAAAGUCCGUUUCGGCGGAUGAGUAAAGUGGCGCACGGGUGAGUAACGCGUGGGUAAUCUACCCUCAUGACCGGGAUAACCUCGCGAAAGCUUGGCUAAUACCGAAUGUCGUCUUCGGGGCCACGGUCCUGAAGAUGAAAGGUGGGGACCUUCGGGCCUGCCGCAUGAGGAUGAGCCCGCGUACCAUUAGCUAGUUGGUAGGGUAACGGCCUACCAAGGCUACGAUGGUUAGCUGGUCUGAGAGGAUGAUCAGCCACACUGGCACUGAAACACGGGCCAGACUCCUACGGGAGGCAGCAGUGAGGAAUUUUGCGCAAUGGGGGAAACCCUGACGCAGCAACGCCGCGUGAGUGAUGAAGGCCUUCGGGUCGUAAAGCUCUGUCGGGUGGGACGAAACGCUCGGGGGUGAAUAGCUCUCGGGCCUGACGGACCGCCAAAGAAGCCCCGCCA
rnacentral:rRNA from 1 species